rnacentral:rRNA from 1 species
GAUGAACGCUGGCGGCGUGCCUAAUACAUGCAAGUCGAGCGAGCGGACGAGAAGCUUGCUUUUCUGAUGUUAGCGGCGGACGGGUGAGUAACACGUGGAUAACCUACCUAUAAGACUGGGAUAACUUCGGGAAACCGGAGCUAAUACCGGAUAAUAUUUUGAACCGCAUGGUUCAAAAGUGAAAGACGGUCUUGCUGUCACUUAUAGAUGGAUCCGCGCUGCAUUAGCUAGUUGGUAAGGUAACGGCUUACCAAGGCAACGAUGCAUAGCCGACCUGAGAGGGUGAUCGGCCACACUGGAACUGAGACACGGUCCAGACUCCUACGGGAGGCAGCAGUAGGGAAUCUUCCGCAAUGGGCGAAAGCCUGACGGAGCAACGCCGCGUGAGUGAUGAAGGUCUUCGGAUCGUAAAACUCUGUUAUUAGGGAAGAACAUAUGUGUAAGUAACUGUGCACAUCUUGACGGUACCUAAUCAGAAAGCCACGGCUAACUACGUGCCAGCAGCCGCGGUAAUACGUAGGUGGCAAGCGUUAUCCGGAAUUAUUGGGCGUAAAGCGCGCGUAGGCGGUUUUUUAAGUCUGAUGUGAAAGCCCACGGCUCAACCGUGGAGGGUCAUUGGAAACUGGAAAACUUGAGUGCAGAAGAGGAAAGUGGAAUUCCAUGUGUAGCGGUGAAAUGCGCAGAGAUAUGGAGGAACACCAGUGGCGAAGGCGACUUUCUGGUCUGUAACUGACGCUGAUGUGCGAAAGCGUGGGGAUCAAACAGGAUUAGAUACCCUGGUAGUCCACGCCGUAAACGAUGAGUGCUAAGUGUUAGGGGGUUUCCGCCCCUUAGUGCUGCAGCUAACGCAUUAAGCACUCCGCCUGGGGAGUACGACCGCAAGGUUGAAACUCAAAGGAAUUGACGGGGACCCGCACAAGCGGUGGAGCAUGUGGUUUAAUUCGAAGCAACGCGAAGAACCUUACCAAAUCUUGACAUCCUUUGACAACUCUAGAGAUAGAGCCUUCCCCUUCGGGGGACAAAGUGACAGGUGGUGCAUGGUUGUCGUCAGCUCGUGUCGUGAGAUGUUGGGUUAAGUCCCGCAACGAGCGCAACCCUUAAGCUUAGUUGCCAUCAUUAAGUUGGGCACUCUAAGUUGACUGCCGGUGACAAACCGGAGGAAGGUGGGGAUGACGUCAAAUCAUCAUGCCCCUUAUGAUUUGGGCUACACACGUGCUACAAUGGACAAUACAAAGGGCAGCGAAACCGCGAGGUCAAGCAAAUCCCAUAAAGUUGUUCUCAGUUCGGAUUGUAGUCUGCAACUCGACUACAUGAAGCUGGAAUCGCUAGUAAUCGUAGAUCAGCAUGCUACGGUGAAUACGUUCCCGGGUCU